CUACGGGUGGCUCCAGUAGGGAAUAUUGCACAAUGGGCGAAAGCCUGAUGCAGCAACGCCGCGUGCGCGAUGAAGGCCUUCGGGUUGUAAAGCGCUUUUCUGAGGGAAGAGGAAGGACUGUACCUCAGGAAUAAGUCUCGGCUAACUACGUGCCAGCAGCCGCGGUAACACGUAGGAGGCAAGCGUUAUCCGGAUUUACUGGGCGUAAAGCGCGUGUAGGCGGUUUGGCAAGUCGGAUGUGAAAGCUCCUGGCUCAACUGGGAGAGGUCGUUCGAAACUGCCAGACUAGAGGACGGUAGAGGAAGAUGGAAUUCCCGGUGUAGUAGUGAAAUGCGUAGAUAUCGGGAGGAACACCAGUGGCGAAGGCGGUCUUCUGGGCCGUUCCUGACGCUGAGACGCGAAAGCAUGGGUAGCGAACGGGAUUAGAUACCCCCGUAGUC
rnacentral:rRNA from 1 species